AUGCAUCCAUCAACCCCAAGGCCAAGUGUGGAGCAGGGUGAGCUCACGUACACACGGAUACCAACCCAUGCCCAGGCUCGAUGGUCAUUCAACUACAUCAACUCUUCAUCCGACGAGGAUGACGUCUACAUCAACGAGCCGUCGUACGCCUACAUUGACUUCACACCCGGCGUCGACGCCGGUUACCGCGGCACAACAUCGCAAUCUUCAUCAACUCUUCGUUUGGCAAGGAUGUCCUCUACCUCGGCGCCACCGAACUUCGACAUGAUGAUAUUGCCAUCUUCUUUGACCUAUUACCUGGCGAGGAUGCUGACUGCAUCAGCACGCUGCCAUCCUUCUACACCAACCGUCUGGACCGAGUGGAGGUCGUCACCGUAA
rnacentral:rRNA from 1 species